rnacentral:rRNA from 1 species
CGUAGAAUAAUCAAAUAUUUAUAGGGUAAAGAUGGGCAUGCGGAACAUUAGCUAGUUGGUGCGGUAAUGGCGCACCAAGGCUACGAUGUUUAGGGGAUCUGAGAGGAUGGCCCCCCACACUGGUACUGAGACACGGACCAGACUCCUACGGGAGGCAGCAGUAAGGAAUAUUGGUCAAUGGGCGGAAGCCUGAACCAGCCAUGCCGCGUGCAGGAAGACGGCCCUAUGGGUUGUAAACUGCUUUUGCAGGGGAAUAAACCUUCGUAUGUAUACGAAGCUGAAUGUACUCUGAGAAUAAGGAUCGGCUAACUCCGUGCCAGCAGCCGCGGUAAUACGGAGGAUCCAAGCGUUAUCCGGAUUUAUUGGGUUUAAAGGGUGCGUAGGUGGCUUUUUAAGUCAGGGGUGAAAGACGGUAGCUUAACUAUCGCAGUGCCUUUGAUACUGAAGAGCUUGAAUACACUAGAGGUAGGCGGAAUGUGACAAGUAGCGGUGAAAUGCAUAGAUAUGUCACAGAACACCAAUUGCGAAGGCAG